UACGGGGGUAGCAAGUGUUGUUCGGAUUUACUGGGCGUAAAGGGAGCGCAGGCGGCCGGGUAAGUCAGAAGUGAAAGCUUGGAGCUUAACUCCAAAAUUGCUUUUGAUACUGCUUGGAUAGAGUAUGUGAGAGGAGGAUGGAAUUCUAGGUGUAGCGGUGGAAUGUGUAGAUAUCUAGAAGAACACCGAUGGCGAAGGCAGUCCUCUGGUACAAUACUGACGCUCAGGCUCGAAAGCUAGGGGAG
rnacentral:rRNA from 1 species